rnacentral:rRNA from 1 species
UACGAAGGGGGCUAGCGUUGCUCGGAAUUACUGGGCGUAAAGCGCACGUAGGCGGCUCUUUAAGUCGGGGGUGAAAUCCCGAGGCUCAACCUCGGAACUGCCUUCGAUACUGAUGAUCUUGAGUCCGGGAGAGGUGAGUGGAACUGCGAGUGUAGAGGUGAAAUUCGUAGAUAUUCGCAAGAACACCAGUGGCGAAGGCGGACUCACUGGCCCGGUACUGACGCUGAGAUACGAAAGCGUGGG